UGACACAGAGAUGCUUAGCUCCCUUGUCACCAGAAAUGUUAAGAGCUUCAGUGACACAUUGCUAAGAAAGGCCAAGUCUGCCACCUAUGCAGCCAACGUCAUUGGUUCCGGCAACAUGCAAGAAUCAUAAAUCAUGCAGCACGACAGCAGCUGCUGCCAUUCAGAAAAGCAACAACAUGGUCUGCCCGUGUGCCGGCUUACCGCCACAGAACGCGCCAAACAAUUCCAUGCAGAGACCUAUGUCUCAGGUGACCUUCUGUUUUAUAAAUAAUGUCAACACAGUAUUGAUUGCAAGAGGGUGGACACUUGUAUAGAUCACCUCAAAUCCCACAAGCAUGAAUGAUGUAAACAACAAGCCGUAGCCAGGGAAGACUCGGCCAAGGCCAAGCAGCAGGUCACGCUUGACAGUCUACCUAGCAGUACUGCGUCCAAGGGAAUGUGUGAGGACUUCAUCCUUGAUUACCUGAAAAUGUGCACUAUGUCGGACAUACCACUUGAGAAGAUUGCCAAAAUGAAGCCAUUCAUGGUCAAGCACUGCAAGUAGGGGGUGCACUACCCCAGGCUAACACCCUGAGGCAGACAUACAGACCAAGGCUGUUUGAGGGACAUUUCAACGGCCUGAAAUCCCUAGUGAAGGAUAAACCUCGCCGAUGAGACAACUGACAUCCGUGAUCACAGUAUCCUCAAUGUUGUCGCUGGCAUUCGAGCGUUGAAGUCAAGUUUCACAACAUCAUUGCUUUUGUCUCCGACUCUGCAGCAUAUUGCAAGAAGACGCAUAGAGAUGUUCUCACACCGGUGUUCUCAAAGUCUGUGCAUGUUGGCACAUAUCCUCAACCUGGCUGGGGAACGCUUCACACACUGCUACCCUGGUCACGAUGGUGAAAUCAUCGUUCUUCAAGAAGCCUGGAAGGAAGAGUCGGUACUUGGCCUACCUGGCUGAGUUCUUGCCGUCUGAACAGGUCAAGCUUCCACCAGUGCCUGUUUCAACCAGGUGGAAUUCCUGGUUUGCUGCAGUGAUAUACCGGGCUGCACAGAUACACCUGUAUCACGGCUUUUUCAGUGUGUCAGUGUUGUGUCCUUUAGCUGAGGAGAGCCAGGGCAUAGCACUCAAAAGGAUCGUGGAACUAUGUGGUCACAAGGAGAUCUACCCAGAGAUCCUGUUGCAGGUGCACUUCAUCACGGAGAACUGUCCCAGACACGUCACAAAUCUGACUUCUCUAGAGGCCACCCACGACCCCUUGGCCUGCACUGUUUACAACACCAUGGAGGAUCUGAGGGCCUACUUGAAGGCAGGCACCACUACAAACUCUUUUGUCCCAGAGUCAGACAGACUGUUGGGAAAGCUGAAGGGCCAGGAGAAGACCAAGGUAAUGAAGGCCCUUUAAGAAGCUGGUGAAGCACUUUGAUGACUAC
ensembl:lncRNA